rnacentral:rRNA from 1 species
GACGUAGGGCGCGAGCGUUGUCCGGAUUUAUUGGGCGUAAAGAGCUCGUAGGCGGUUUGUCGCGUCGUCCGUGAAAACUCACAGCUUAACUGUGAGCUUGCGGUCGAUACGGGCAGGCUAGAGUUCGGUAGGGGAGACUGGAAUUCCUGGUGUAGCGGUGAAAUGCGCAGAUAUCAGGAGGAACACCGGUGGCGAAGGCGGGUCUCUGGGCCGAUACUGACACUGAGGAGCGAAAGCGUGGGGAGCGAACAGG